rnacentral:rRNA from 1 species
GACGAACGCUGGCGGCGUGCUUAACACAUGCAAGUCGAACGGAAAGGCCCUGCUUUUGUGGGGUGCUCGAGUGGCGAACGGGUGAGUAACACGUGAGUAACCUGCCCUUGACUUUGGGAUAACUUCAGGAAACUGGGGCUAAUACCGGAUAGGAGCUCCUGCUGCAUGGUGGGGGGUGGAAAGUUUCGGCGGUUGGGGAUGGACUCGCGGCUUAUCAGCUUGUUGGUGGGGUAGUGGCUUACCAAGGCUUUGACGGGUAGCCGGCCUGAGAGGGUGACCGGCCACAUUGGGACUGAGCUACGGCCCAGACUCCUACGGGAGGCAGGAGUGGGGAAUGUUGCACAAUGGGCGGAAGCCUGAUGCAGCAACGCCGCGUGCGGGAUGACGGCCUUCGGGUUGUAAACCGCUUUCGCCUGUGACGAAGCGUGAGUGACGGUAAUGGGUAAAGAAGCACCGGCUAACUACGUG